rnacentral:rRNA from 1 species
GACGAACGCUGGCGGCGUGCCUAAUACAUGCAAGUCGAACGCUUCUCUCCUCCCGAGUGCUUGCACUCAAUUGGAAAGAGGAGUGGCGGACGGGUGAGUAACACGUGGGUAACCUACCCAUCAGAGGGGGAUAACACUUGGAAACAGGUGCUAAUACCGCAUAACAGUUUAUGCCGCAUGGCAUAAGAGUGAAAGGCGCUUUCGGGUGUCGCUGAUGGAUGGACCCGCGGUGCAUUAGCUAGUUGGUGAGGUAACGGCUCACCAAGGCCACGAUGCAUAGCCGACCUGAGAGGGUGAUCGGCCACACUGGGACUGAGACACGGCCCAGACUCCUACGGGAGGCAGCAGUAGGGAAUCUUCGGCAAUGGACGAAAGUCUGACCGAGCAACGCCGCGUGAGUGAAGAAGGUUUCGGAUCGUAAAACUCUGUUGUUAGAGAAGAACAAGGACGUUAGUAACUGAACGUCCCCUGACGGUAUCUAACCAGAAAGCCACGGCUAACUACGUGCCAGCAGCCGCGGUAAUACGUAGGUGGCAAGCGUUGUCCGGAUUUAUUGGGCGUAAAGCGAGCGCAGGCGGUUUCUUAAGUCUGAUGUGAAAGCCCCCGGCUCAACCGGGGAGGGUCAUUGGAAACUGGGAGACUUGAGUGCAGAAGAGGAGAGUGGAAUUCCAUGUGUAGCGGUGAAAUGCGUAGAUAUAUGGAGGAACACCAGUGGCGAAGGCGGUCUCUGGUCUGUAACUGACGCUGAGGCUCGAAAGCGUGGGG